CAGAAGAAAACUGCAGCAAGGCCAAGGGAUCAUCUUCACUCCGGAAGAGUGAGUAGAGAUAUCAGAGGCUCAUAAUUGGGAAAACGUGAAAUAAGAUAAGAGCGUUUUGCCAGCUCGAAUUCUUCAAACUGAAAGGCCGGAGCACAAGUGCAACCUACUAGGGAGUAGUGGCUCUCACCAUCCCUCGGUGCAGUUUUAGCAACCAUACUAUCUGGAGAAAUGUUGUAGUCCUUUGUUGGAAAUGCACCAAACCAGACAUUUCCAGGCACAGUAUACUGUGGUUGCUGAUUGUCUCCAACCAGAUCAGAUCCAAUGGAAGUUAAUUUGACCUGCCCGUUUUUCUCAUUCAAUUCCAGUAUCUGACAAAAAAAAUGUUUCAAUAGAAAAAUAAGUAAAAUGGCAGGACUAACAGAAAAUGUUGCAAGACAGGGACCCUGAGGGAGACUCUUUUCCUCCAAUUUCAUCUUAAAUUUGUAAUUUGCUCUGAUGAGAGAAAAGCUUCAUAUAUAAUUUGCAAGGGAUAUUGUGGAUUGCCAUGGCACUUCAAAAUGCUAGAAAUAAGAUCAAAUUUCGGAUUUACAAUAUGAAUUAUUUCUCAUUUCAUUCCUUCUUUUCAGCAAUGCAUGGUUUGUUUGAAUUACUUAUGGAAUACAUUUAACAAUUUUAGGUGACAACUUCAAUAGUUUAUUUGCUGGUUUAGCGGAUGUGAGUAGAGAAACCACAGCACAGAUGAGGUCAACAGGAUACAAAAUGGCCAUAAUUUUCAUAGCAUCAAAUUCAACCAGGUAAAAAACGGGACUCUGUAUAUCAAUCAAUUUAUAUUACCAUUUCAAUUUGACAUUGAUGUGCACAGUGUAAUCUAAUUCUAGUGCUUCAAGCUUAAACAUAAACAAUUCAAAGAUUUCAUCAUUGGGCAUUUGACAGUCUUCUAAUGCUCGAAGCAAUCUCAUAACUAGAAUAUCGAAGAACUACCACACUAAUUUAUUCUACGAAAGAGUCAUUGACUAAUGUAAUUGAAAAGGUUGUCUUCUUGCAGUUGACUGUCACUUCAUACAUUAAUAUAGAAGGGUAGGACUGUUUCAAAAGUUUCCAUCACAGGAGCCUAAUUUCUGGACUGCAACUGGGUAGCGGUUAUUUACACAGCAUGAUUGGACUCCAAGAGCUGUAACACAGAAUUUGCCUCACUACCUGGAACUCUAUUUCAAAGGGGCCAUAACUAGGAGGUACUAUUGCAUAGGAGUGAUCAAUUUACAAAUACAUGCUGAAGGGUAGUCGAAAUUUUCCUUCUAACAACCCAACUUUGGUAGUACAGCAACUAAUAGUCUGUCUUUUACACGAUUCUCUAAUGCAGGUAUGAGAGAUUUAAUACCAAAUUCAGCUUAGGUGGUGCAAUCAGUCAGCUGGGUUAGCUUUGGAAAUUUUGGUUUGGUCAAAACCACAUAUUUUGCACCUCAAACCAAAGCUGCCCUGAAUAAGAAAAAAGAAUUAAACAGAACUGCCCAAACAAAAAUAUGGAAGAUUUGGGUAAGUAUAGUUUUUAGGAGAAAGAUAUAUAAAACAUAGAAAAUUCCAUAUGAUUUUAGAUAAAUUAAAAUUAUUAUACGAUAAAUGUUAUUAAAAUUUAAAAAGAAAUAAACUAUUGAUUUUUAGGCCAAGUUCAGUUUGCAACCCCUCCAAACUGAACCAAAUGCUGAAAAUCAAACAUUUUUUUUUUUUAAAUCUGGACCAGACCAAGCUUUCGAAAAACAUGAACCAAAUGGAACCAAAAAGGGUCAAAUCAGUUCAGUUUUAACCAAAUAUUACUCCCUCCUUAACUCAUGUCACAUCCUACGACUCUAUUCUGGUUAUAGGAGGAGGAACUAUUAUUGUGUAGGGCCAUCCAAGGUACAUUUUGGAUAACCAAACUCAUUUGAUUUGUCCAAAGCAAUUGCUGUUGGAAUGAGAUAAAUGAGUUUUCCUAACAAAUACUUUGAACAAAUCAAAUAGUUUGCCUAUCAAAAUUGUCCUUGGGAUUAUCCCAUGCAAUAGCAUCUCCUUUACUGGAUGAAAAGCCCUUAUGCAAUGCCCAAGUGCAAAUCUGAAAUGUUCCAAUGCAAAAUCACAACACAAUCAUGAAAUUAAAACUUUCUCAUCUACCCAAAGAAACUAUAAAAAAGCUUCAAAUAUAGAAAUAGAUCUGAUGUUCAUAAGCAAAGUAAACCACUAAAUGAAAGAGCUUUAGAUCAAGUUUACAGUGAAUAGUUGGGAAGGACAAAAUGGACAUGCAUUGACCAUGUGAGGACAUCCUCCAUGCAUAAUCAGUGCAGGGACAACAGCUAGCAAAGUCAUAACGAGGAUAGGUGUUUUAAAAGAUAAGAUACAGAGGAUUGAGAAAACCUUCAUCAAGUUUAGUUCAAGUUAAUAAUUCCUGAACACAUGACACGUGAGCUUUUUAGCAAGGAUCCAACUAAUGGAAUGCUAAAACAAUGAGACAUCAAAAUGCACAAAACUAAAUUAUCUUCAUUGUCCAACAGUAUGUAGAGUGACCUAUGUCCGACAGGAUAGAUAGAAUGUUCCAGUGGCAUUAGUUAAGUUAGUGUUUUCCAUCAAAUGACUGUUAGAAUUGAAAGGAGCUAAUCAAGGCACGCAAAUUGUCAAUUCUAUAGGAAAAUUAAAUACCAGUGUCACAUAGAAUAAGCCUUACUGUAAGUGGUUCUCCCACAUAAAAAUGCCAGGUUUCUGCACAUGGAAUGCGAUGAAGGAGUGAGACAUUCCCAGAAGGUAGCAAGAAGUAGAUAGAUGUGCUAACUGGAUGAUCAACCUUAUCUGCAUUAAGAUGCAACUAUAUUAGUAAAUUGAUUGAUCAAGCAAAAAAUGAAAACAAAACAGAAUCAAAUUACAAAAAACACUGAUGUUGCUUGCUAUAAUUUCAAAACUAAACUGAAAGUUUUAUGCUUUGACAAUUGAACCUUAUUGCAUGAAUGGUUCUGCCAUCAAAUAUAGACACUACACCAAAGACUCCUCAACAGUUGGUACACUGUUCAUAUUGAGAACCGAGCAUGUGAAUAGAAAAACAUUGAAGAUCUAGAAAAACAAGAUUAAUAUCUUUGCCACAUGUGAUCAACAUGUUUUCAAGGCCAAGUAGAAGGAUUCUCGGAUUGACUGCAUUGCUAAACCAAAACUCAGUAUAGGUGUCAUUCAUGGAGAAUUUGAUUUGAUUUUGGAAUUCCAUUUUCAUGGGAUUCUAAAAUUUUGUCAAAGUAAACAACAAUUUCAAGUUCAUUAUUUAAAAUCAAAACUAAAUAUAAGGAUACAGAAAACAGAGAGAGAAUCCUUGAACUGUCCCUACAUUUCAAGCCCCAAAUCCCAUGUAACCAAAACACAGCCUUGCCUUAAGACAACAGAAUUAAAAGUAUACCUUGAAAAGAUUUAUUAAAGCAAACAAAAGUAAAAAAAGAACAAACAAGCUUAAGUUAUGUAAUAAGUAGUAUGAAUUUUUGUAUAUAUGAAUUAGUAAAAUGGAUUCGUAACAGCAGAUGGACUCAGAUCGCGAUAGUAGUAUGAAUUAGUAAAAACAGAAUCUAUUCAUAAAGACAAAAGAAGGCAUACCCAAUAUUAGUAGUGAGAUCCUUAGCUUGAAUUGUUAUUUACAGCAUAGAAGGUCUUUAGAGGGUGAAGGCGUAUCAAAAUUUCAUACACUUGAAAACGAAAAGAAAGAAAAAGAGCAGGGCAUCAGGUGAAAACUUACAUUCAGGGGGAAGUUGAGAGGAAGAGAGAACGAUAGAAGUGUCUCUAAAGGUUUCUGAGUAGAAUCCGCCUUCUGGGUGUGGCUGGAGAUUCAGUUUAUUCACUAUCUCUGAUGUAGUUGCCAUGUUUGUCUCGUAUACUCUCUCUCUCUCUCUCUCUCUCUCUCGCUCGCUUUUCCUUUACAAGCACGGUGAUUGUUGUAUUAGGUGUCCAAUAUGUGCUGUUGAAAUGUGUUAGGUGAUUAAACAGUUUAAUGACGGUUUUGUCCCUAAAUUAUGGUGAUUACGUAGUGUUUAGGGCUAUGCUAUCAAUUUAAUUAUUUAUAUCUAAAACAAUUAUUUUAAUUUUUUAUAAAUAUUACCCUUGUGGUUGGUUUUUCUUCUAUAGCAUCUUCGGGUGAAGAUGCUAUUUUAGAAAGGUAUUCAUAAAUAAGAUAAAUAAAAUUUGUUUUAUUAUAUAAACUUUAAUAGAAAAAAAUUAUUUGAAAAAUCAAUUGUAUUAAAGUGAAAGAAAAAAGUAUUUUAUCUUUUUUUAAUGAGUUUUAUAUUUUUAUAUAUAUAAUUGUUUUUAAUUGGUUUAUUUUUUUGUUAGUUUUAUUUUAUUGGUUUUGAUUUAAAAACAAUACAUGAGGAAUAUCAUUUUUUUGGAGAGAGAAGCAUUUUGACAUUUUGAUUAACAUUGACAAGCCUAUAUUUUUUUUUUACCGAAAAUCACUUUCCAAACUUUUCUGUGUUUGUUUGUCUUUAGAAAAGUUGGUCAACGGAAAACAAUUUGCAGUCAAAGAAAAAUUUGGCUUGGUUUCCAGGAAAGUGUUUUACUGAAAAAUUUGGGCGGAAAACACUUUCUGAAAAUUGUGAAAAAUUUAGAAAAGUCAUAGUAUUUGUUGAUUAUAUCAAAUUUCAUCCUCAAACUUUUAAUUGCUAUAUAUUUUUUUGUUUUGAAUAUUUAUUUUUCAAUUUCAUCUCUUAAAAUUUAAUUUUUAUAUUAACUUUGGUCCUUAUUUUUAUAAUUGUUAUUUGCUUUUCUCUUAUUAUUAUUUUAUUGAAAUUUUUUAUCUAUCAAAUUUGGUUCUCAUUUUUUUUUAUUGUUGCUUAUUUUAUUUGAAAUAAUUUAUGAAAUAUUAAUUAUUAUUAUUUUAAUUUCUUCAUCUUUUAUUUUUUUAUUUUUUUUAAAUUUGAUCUCUAUUAUUUUGAUUGUUAUUUAUUUUAUUUGAGAUAAUUUAUGAAAUUAUAAUAUUUUUUUUCAAUUUCAUUCUCAUUCAACUUUUUAAUUUGUGAGAUUUGUUCCUUAUUAUUUUAAUAAACUUGAAAAAAAUAAAACAUUAAUAAGUUAUUUUCCAGCUCAUUUUCUAUGACACAACCAAAUACUUGAAAGUGUUUUCCAACUUAUUUUCUAUUACACUCCCAAACAUUAGAAAAUAAUUCACUUUUCCGGAAUUCACUUUUUAAAAGAAAACUACUUUUCAGCAAACAAAAAGGGCAUAAAUGGUGUGGAGGAAUCACUAUUCCCCAACACCAAAAUCACUGUGUAUUACAACAGUAAUCCACAAUGAAUUCCUCUUCUUCUUCUUUUUGCACAUCUUUAUUUUUUUUUUCAAUUUUUCUCUUUUUUUCUUUUUUUUUUCAACUUUCCUUUCCUUUGUUUUUUUUUUUGCAUUUAUUUUUUUUAAUUAUUUUUGUUGAUUUUAAUUUUUAAAUAUUAAGUUGGUUAAAAAUUUUGCUUUAUAAUUUUUUUUCUUAAAAUACUGUGGAUUGCAACGGUAUUUUCCCACAUGGUUUUUCUAUUUUAUUAUUUUUUUUAUUUUUUAAAAUUAUAUUUGUCGAUUUUUUUAAUAUUGAGCUUAUUAAGAAUUUAGUUUUGUAAUUUUUUUUUAUUUAAAACAUUGUUGAUUGCUACAGUGUUUCUCCGCAUUGUUUUUUUUUUAUGACACUAAAUCGUGUGGGGAAAUCACUAGUUUUUCAAUUUUAUUUUUAUUUUUUCAUUUUUUUUUCAAAUUUCCCCCUUUAUUUUUAUUUUUUUUAACUUUCCUCUGUUUUUUAUUUAUUUUACUUUUUAAAUAUUGACCUGGUUAAAGUUUUCGCUUUGUAAUUUUUUCCUUUAAAAUAUUGUGGAUUGCUGCGAUGCUUUCCCACAUAGUUUUUCUAUUUUAUUUAUUUUAUUUUUUAAAAUUUUAUUUGUUGAUUUAGUUUUUAAUAUUGAGCUGGUUAAGAAUUUAGUUUUGUAAUUUUUUUUCGUUAAAGCAUUAUUGAUUGCUACAGUGUUUCUCCAUAUGGUUUUUUUUUUCUAUGAAAUUAUCUUUUUUGAUUUUAUUUUUUAAUAUCGAGUUGGUUAAAAAUUACAAUUACAAUAUGUGAGGAAAAGCACUGUAACUUUCAUCGAAAAUUACUGUGGAUUGCUACAAUGUUUUUCCCCACAUGGUUUUUUUUAUUUUGUUAUGUUUUUUCCUAAAAUUAUCUUUGCCAAUUUUAUUUUUAAAAUAUUAAGCUGGUUAAGAAUUAUAAUUAUAAGUAAAUACAAGUUUUUCCUCACAAAACACUAUGAAUUAAUAUAGUUUUUCCUAACAAGGUUUUUUUCUAAUUUCUUUUGUGUUUUCUUUUUUUGUAAUAUUUUUUUCCAAACUUAUUUUCGUUGAUUUUUUUUUUUCAUAUUGAGUUGGUUAGAAUUUAACUUUGUAAUAAAGUUUAAUUAUGUAGGGAUAACAUUGUAGCUUUCCUCACAAAACAUUAUGGAUUGCUAUAGUAUCUCUCUACAUGGUUUUUUUUUCUUAUAAUUUUUUAGUAAAUUUUUUUUUCUAUGAAGUUAUCAAACUUUCAUGACGCGAAUCUUAGGUUUGAUAGGUUAACCUCGUUUGAAGGGUUAACCCAGUUAAUUCAGAUUUUUUUUUUCAUUAGAUUUUUUCUUCCUAUUGGUUUUUUUUCUUUUUAGUUAAUCUAUUUAAUUAUCACACUUUUAUGACACGACCUUGCAGCCAGACCCACAUCCAAGGCUAUUAGUCUGUUGUUGCAGUCAGACUCAAUUAAACAUGAAUCAUGUAAGUUUAAUAUUAUUAUUCAUAUUAUAAAUAUUAUUCUUGGGUCAAGCGUUGCAGCUAAACCCAAGGUGUUUGGGUAUAUCUUUGCAGAAAACUUAACACUUUUAGAUCAUAGCCUUUUUUGAUAUUUUUUAUGCAAUAUAAAAAAAAUUAACCUGUGGCGUAUGCCUUUUUUUUUUCUUUUUUUUUUCUUUUUAAGCCUUUUACUGUGGAAUGCACAGCGCAAUCCACGGUGAAAAAGUUUAUGCCUUUAGUUUCUUUUUUUAGCUUUUUUCUUUGUUUUUUUUUAAUUAUUUUUAUUUACUUUUUUAAUGUUAAUUUUUUCCAUAUUUAAUUAUUAAACUUUUAUGACACAGAUCCCAGAUUUGACGGGUUAACUCAGUUGAUUCAUAGUUAAUUAAAUUUUUUUUUCUCUUUAUUCAUUAGUUUUUUUCUUCUUAUAGGUUUUUUUUUCUUUAUUUUUUCUUUUUAAUUAAUAUUUUUUAUUUAAUUUAGUUCAUUAAUAUUAAUUUUUUUCUAUUUAGUUAUCGUUUUAUGCCUUUAUUUAUUUAUUUUUUCUUUUUGCUUUUUUUUUUUCUGUUUUUAUGCCUUUGACUGUGGACUGCACAGUGCAGUCCACAGUGAAAAGGUUGAUGCCUUUUGUUUGUUUUUAUUUUUUUUCCUUUUUAGUUAAUUUUUUUCGUUUAAUUUAGUUUGUUAAUGUUAAAUUUUUUUAUAUUUAGUUAUCAAACUUUCAUGACACGGAUUCUGGAUUUCAUGGGUUAACCUGAUUUCACAGGUUAGCCCAAUUAAUUCUGGAUAACCCAUCAAUAUUUUUUUUUCUAUUUAGUUAUUAAACUUUCAUGACAUGAAUCAAAGGUUUGACGGGUUAACCUGGUUUGAAGGGUUAACCUAGUUAAUUCAAAAAAAAAUUCUUUUUCUUCGUUAGUUUUUUUCUUCUUGUUGGUUUUUUUUCUUUAUUUUUUUAUUUUUAAUUAAUCUAUUUGAUUAUCAUAUUUUUAUAACAUAACCUUGCAGCCAGACUCACAACCAAGGCUAUUGGGUUUGGUAUUGCAGUCAGACCCACUUAAACUUGGAUCAUACAAGUUUAAUAUUAUUAUUAAUAUUAUAAAUAUUACUCUUGGGUCAGGUGUUGCAGCCAAACCCAAGACUCUUGGGUAUAACUUUGCAGAAAGACAUAUCACUUUUGGAUCUUAGUUUUUUUUUUGAUAUUUUUUAAACAAAAAUAAAUUAAUACAUGGCAUCACGCAUGUCAUGUAACUAGUAUAUAUAUAAAAGUGACUCAGGGAUAUAGAUCCAAUCAAGAAAAAAAAAUAUUUGGACCAACUUUAAAAAAGAAAAAAAAUACAUGAGAACAUGCAACAAAAAAAUAAUUAAAAAGAUAACAAAGUUAAGAAUCCAGUAUCAAAUAUAGAAGAACAAAAGAAAAAAAAAAUUACUUAGAUCAACUAGACCGAGCAUAAUAAAUGUACAAAUCAAAUCAUGAGACUAGAAUAAACAAAUAAAAAAAACAAAAAAUAAAUUCAAUUUCAAACAAAUCUAGCAUCAAAUAAUAAAAUUAAAAAGAGUCAAAUUAAAAAAAAAAAAAAAAAAACCAACAAACCAAGUAACCAUACCCAAUCAACUUAAAAAAUUUGUCAAAAAUAAAUCCUAUAAAAAAACAAUUUAAAAGAUACAAAACAACUGAGUUAUUUUAAAGAUUUAUACAUAUAAAAAAAAACCAUAUAAAAGAUAGGUAAAAAAACAAAAUCUAUUGGCUAAUAAUACAAAUAUUAAAUGAUAAAUUAAAAAAAAUACAACUUGAAAAAGAAUUAAAAAAGAAAAAAUCAAUGAACCAUACAUCAGCUUAAAAAGAACUUGGCAAAAACAAACGUAUCUGUAUCGUUUAAAAUCUCAUGAAAAAAUUGGAAUGGAAACUACGUUGUUCUGUUAUGGCAUACCAAGAACGAGUACAAUUAACAAUCCAAGACUUGUCAUCUAAAUACGCAGGAACAAGGGCUUGAAGGUUGGACCUUUGAACAAGGAAGGAAAGCCUGGGCUAUGGUUUUGAAGAAAGGUUGAUUGAGUCGUCAUGUUCUUUUUCCUUUUGCUUACGAUAAGAGGUGGACAACCUUUUGUCCGCCCCUUCUUCUUAAGAAAUAGAAAUACAUAUAUAACAAUUCUUCUUACAUGUUCCCUUGUAAUUAUGGUUUGAUAGUUCCCAAACCAAUAACAAAGUUAGUGUAUAGACAAUGAAUUGGAGAAGGAUAUCAACAUUAUCGUGGCAUAACAUGUUCCUCGAUAAUUAUGGUUUGAUGGUUCCAAAACCAAUAACAAAAUUAGUGUAGGUGUGGUCAUAACAUCGCUAACUGGUCAUAAAAUGACCUUAUCUUUUUAACUUGUUUUUUGGCCAAGGGAUCAUCUUCACUCCGGAAGAGUGAGUAGAGAUAUCAGAGGCUCAUAAUUGGGAAAACGUGAAAUAAGAUAAGAACGUUUUGCCAGCUCGAAGUCUUCAAACUGAAAGGCCGGAGCACAAGUGCAACCUACUAGGGAGUAGUGGCUCUCACCAUCCCUCGGUGCAGUUUUAGCAACCAUACUAUCUGGAGAAAUGUUGUAGUCUUUUGUUGGAAAUGCGCCAAACCAGACAUUUCGAGGCACAGUAUACUGUGGUUGCUGAUUGUCUCCAACCAGAUCAGAUCCAAUGGAAGUUAAUUUGACCUGCCCGUUUUUCUCAUUCAAUUCCAGUAUCUGAAAAAAAAUAUACGCUUCAAUAGAAAAAUAAGUAAAAUGGCAGGACUAACAUAAAAUAUUGCAAGACAGGAACCCUGAGCGAGAUUCUUUUCCUCCAAUUUCAUCUUAAAUUGGUAAUUUGCUCUGAUGAGAGAAAAGCUUCAUAUAUAAUUUGCAAGGGAUAUUGUAGAUUGCCAUGGCACUUCAAAAUGCUAGAAAUAAGAUCAUAUUUCGGAUUUACAAUAUGAAUUAUUUCUCAUUUCAUUCCUUCUUUUCAGCAAUGCAUGGUUUGUUUGAAUUACUUCUGGAAUACAUUUAACAAUUUUAGGUGACAGCUUCAAUAGUUUAUUUGCUGGUUUAGCGGAGGUGAGUAGAGAAACCACAGCACAGAUGAGGUCAACAGGAUACAAAAUGGCCAUAAUUUUCAUAGCAUCAAAUUCAACCAGGUAAAAAACAGGACUCUUGUAUAUCAAUCAACUUAUAUUACCAUUUCAAUUUGACAUUGAUGUGCACAGUGUAAUCUAAUUCUAGUGCUUCAAGCUUAAACAUAAACAAUUCAAAGAUUUCAUCAUUGGGCAUUUGACAGUCUUCUAAUGCUCGAAGCAAUCUCAUAACUAGAAUAUCGAAGAACUACCACACUAAUUUAUUCUAUGAAAGAGUCAUUGUCUAAUGUAAUUGAAAAGGUUGUCUUCUUGCAGUUGACUGCCACUUCAUACAUUAAUAUUGAAGGGUAGGACUGUUUCAAAAAUUUCCAUCCCAGGAGCCUACUUUCUGGACUGCAACUGGGUAGCGGUUAUUUACACAGAGCAUGAUUGGACUCCAAGAGCUGUAACACAGAAUUUGCCUGGAACUCUAUUUCAAAGGGGCAAUAACUAGGAGGUACUGUUGCAUAGUAGUGAUCAAUUUACAAAUACGUGCUGAAGGGUACUCGAAAUUUUCCUUCUAACAACCCAACUUAGGUAGUACGGCAACUAAUAGUCUGUCUUUACACUAUUCUCUAAUGCAGGUAUGAGAGACCUAAUACCAAAUUCAGCUUAGGUGGUGCAAUCAGUCAGUUGGGUUAGCUUUGGAAAUUUUGGUUUGGUCAAAACCACAUAUUUUGCACCUCAAACCAAAGCUGCCCAAACAAAAAUAUGGAAGAUUUGGGUGGAGGAGUGAUAUCUGGUGGGCCUCUCCUCCUGGGAAGUAUAGUUUUUAGGAGAAAGAUAUAUAAAACAUAGAAAAUUCCAUAUGAUUUUAGAUAUAUUAAAAUUAUUAUACAAUAAAUGUUAUUAAAAUUUAAAAAGAAAAGGAAAUAAACUAUUGAUUUUUAGGCCAAGUUCAGUUUGCAACCCCUCCAAACUGAACCAAAUGCUGAAAAUCAAACAUUUUUUUUUAAAACAAAUCUGGACCAGACCAAGCUUUCAAAAAACAUGAACCAAAUGGAACCAAAAUGGGUCAAAUCAGUUCAGUUUUAACCAAAUAUUACUCACUCCUUAACUCAUGUCUCAUUCUCAGACUCUAUUCUGGUUAUAGGAGGAACUAUUAUUGUGUAGGGCCAUCCAAGGUACAUUUUGGAUAACCAAACUCAUUUGAUUUGUCCAAAGCAAUUGCUGUUGGAAUGAGAUAAAUGAGUUUUCCUAACAAAUACUUUGAACAAAUCAAAUAGUUUGCCUAUCAAAAUUGUCCUUUACUGGAUUAUCCAAGUGCAAAUCUGAAAUGUUCCAAUGCAAAAUCACAUCACAAACAUGAAAUUAAAACUUUCUCAUCUACCCAAAGAAACUAUAAAAAAGCUUCAAACAUAGAAGUAGAUCUGAUGUUCAUAAGCAAAGUGGACCACUAAAUGAAAGAGCUUUAGAUCAAGUUUGCAGUGAAUAGCUGGGAUGGACAAAAUGGACAUGCAUUGACCAUGUGAUGGACAUCCUCCAUGCACAAUCUGUGCAGGGAUGACAACUAGCAAAGUCAUAACGAGGAUAGGUGUUUUAAAAGCUAAGAUACAGAGGAUUGAGAAAACUUUCAUCAAGUUUAGUUCAAUUUAAUAAUUCCUGAACACAUGACACGUGAGCUUUUUAGUUAGGAUCCAAGUAAUGGAAUGCUUAAACAAUGAGACAUCAAAAUGCACAAAACUAAAAAUUAUCUUCAUUGUCCAAACAGCAUGUAGAGUGACCUAUGUCCGACAGGAUAGAUAGAAUGUUCCAGUAGCAUUAGUUAAGUCAGUGCUUUCCAUCAAAUGACUGUUAGAAUUGAAAGGAGCUAAUCACGGCACGCAAAUUGUCAAUUCUAUAGGAAAAUUAAAUACCAGUGUCACAUAGAAUAAGCCUUACUGUAAGUGGUUCUCCCAAAUAAAAAUGCCAGGUUUCUGCGCAUGGAAUGCGAUGAAGGAGUGAGACAUUCCCAGAAGGUAGCAAGAAGUAGAUAGAUGUGCUAACUGCACGAUCAACCUUAUCUGCAUUAAGAUGCAACUAUAUUAGUAAAUUGAUUCUUCAAGCGAAAAAUGAAAACAAAACAAGAAUCAAAUUACAAAAACACUGAUGUUGCUUGCUAUAAUUUCAAAACUAAACUGAAAGUUUUAUGCUUUGACAAUUGAACCUUAUUGCAUGAAUGGUUCUGCCAUCAAAUAUAGACACUACACUAAAGACUCCUCAGCAGGGGGUACACUGUUCAUAUUGAGAACCGAGCAUGUGAAUAGAAAAACAAGAUUAAUAUCUUUGCCACAUGUGAUCAACAUGUUUUCAAGGCCAAGUAGAAGGAUUCUCGGAUUGACUACAUUGCUAAACCAAAACUCAGUAUAGGUGUCAUUCAUGGAGAAUUUGAUUUGAUUUUGGAAUUCCAUUUUCAUGGAAUUCUAAAAUUUAGUCAAAGUAAACAACAAUUUCAAGUUCAUUAUUUAAGAUCAAAACAAAAUAUACGGAUACAGAAAACAGAGAGAGAAUCCUUGAACUGUCCCUACAUUUCAAGCCCCAAAUCCCAUGUAGCCAAAACACAGCCUUGCCUUAAGAAAACAGAAUUAAAAGUAUACCUUGAAAAGAUUUAUUAAAGCAAACAAAAGUAAAAAAAAGAACAAGCAAGCUUAAGUUAUGUAAUAAGUAGUAUGAUUUUUUGUAUAUAUGAAUUAGUAAAAUGGAUUAGUAACAACAGAUGGACUCAGAUCCCAAUAGUAGUAUGAACUAGUAACAACAGAAUCUAUUCAUAUUAAUCAAAUCAUAAAGACAAAAGAAGGCAUGCCCAAGAUUAGUAGUGAGAUCCUUAGCUUGAAUUGUUAUUUACAGCACAGAAGGUCUUUAGAGGGUGAAGGCGUAUCAAAAUUUCACACUUGAAAACGAAAAGAAAGAAAAAGAGCAGGGCAUCAGGUGAAAACUUACAUUCAGAGGGAAGUUGAGAAGAAGAGAGAACGACAGAAGUGUCUCUAAAGGUUUCUGAGUAGAAUCCGCCUUCUGGGUGGGGCUGGAGAUUCAGUUUAUUCACUAUCUCUGAUGUAGUUGCCAUGUUUGUUUCGUAGUACUGUCUAGCUCUCUCUCUCUCGCUUUUCCUUUACAAGCACGGUGAUUGUUGUAUUAGCUGUCCAAUACGUGCUGUUGAUGUGUUAGGUGAUUAGACAGUUUAAUAACGGUUCUGUCCCUAAAUUAUGGAGAUUACGUAAUGUUAAGGGCUAUGCUAUAAAUUUAAUUAUUUAUAUCUAAAAAAAAUUAUUUUAUUUUUUUACAAAUAUUACCCUUGUGUUUGGUUUUUCUUCCAGAGCAUCUUCGAGUGAAGAUGUUAUUUUACAAAGGUAUUUAUAAAUAAAAUAAAUCUAAUUUUUUUAUUAUAUAAAAUCUAAUAGAAAAAAAUUAUUUGAAAAGUCAAUUAUAUUAAAGUGAAAGAAAAAAGUGUAUUAUCUUUUUUUAUGAGUUUUAUAUUUUUUUAUAUAAAAUUGUAUUUAACUGGUUUAUUUUUUUGUUGGUUUUAUUUUAUUGGUUUUGAUUUCUUAAGAAAAAAUAUAUAAGGAAUAGCAUUUUUUUAUUUUGAGAGAGAAGCAUUUUGACAUUUUGUUUAAUAUUAACAAUACUUUAAAUGGUGUAGAGGAAUCAAUGUUUCCCGAUACCAAAAUCAUUGUGGAUUACAACAGUAAUCCACAAUAAAUUCCUCUUCUUUUUCUUUUUCUUUUUCUUUUUCUUUUUUGUAUUUUUUCUUCUUUUUUUUCAACUUUCCCCCUUUUUUUCUUCUUUUUUUUCAACUUUUCUCUAUUUGCUUUAUUGUUUUAAAAAAAUUAUUUUUGUUGAUUUUACUUUUUAAAUAUUGAGUUGGUUAAAAAUUUUACUUUGUAAUUUAUUUUUAAAUAAUAUGGAUUGUAAUGGUAUUUUCCCACAUAGUUUUUCUAUUUUAUUUGUUUAUUUUUCAAAAUUAUAUUUGUCGAUUUUUUUAAUAUUGAGCUGGUUAAAAAUUUUGCUUUCUAAUUUUUUUUCUUUAAAGUACUAUGGAUUGCUGCGGUAUUUUCCGACAUAGUUUUUUAAUUUUAUUUUUUAAUUUUUAAAAAUUAUAUUUGUCGAGUUUUUCCCCACACCAAAAUUACUAUAGAUUACAACAGUAAUCCACAGUGCAUUCCUCCUUUUUUUUUUUGUAUUUUUUCAUUUUUUUUUCAACUUUCCCCUUUUUUUCCUUUUCUUUUCUUUUAACUUUCCUCUAUUGUUUUUUGGAUUUUUUUUAUUUUUUUUUCCAAAACUAUUUUUGUUGAUUUUACUUUUUAAAUAUUAAGCUGGUUAAAAAAUUUUCUUUGUGAUUUUUUUCCUUUAAAAUACUGUGAAUUGUUGCGGUGUUUUCCCACAUAGUUUUUCUAUUUUAUUUUUUUAUUUUUCAAAAUUAUAUUUGUCGAUUUUUUAAUAUUGAGCUGGUUAAAAAUUUCACUUUGAUUUUUUUUUCUUUAAAAUACUUUGGAUUGUUGCGGUGUUUUCCCAUAUAGUUUUUCAAAAUUAUAUUUGUUGAUUUUUUUUUAAUAUUGAUCUUAUUAAGAAUUUAGUUUUGUAAUUUUUUUUUAAAAUAUUGUUGAUUGCUACAGUGUUUCUCCGCAUUGUUUUUCUUUAUGACACUAGAUGAUGUGGGGAAAUUACUAUUUCCCCACACCCAAAAUCACUGUGGAUUACAACAGUAAUCCACAGUGCAUUCUUAUUUUAUUUUAUUUUAUUAUUUUUAUUUUUUUUCCAACUUUCCCCUUUUUUUUCAACUUUCCUUUAUUUUGUUUGCAUUUAUUUUUUUUUUCAAAAUUAUUUUUGUUGAUUUUACUUUUUUAAAUAUUGAGCUGGUUAAAAAUUUCGUUUUGUAAUUUUUUUUCUUUAAAAUAUUGUGGAUUUCUGCUGUGUUUUCUCACAUAGUUUUUCAUAUUUUAUUUUUUUAUUUUUUAAAAUUAUAUUUGUCGAUUUUUUUAAUAUUAAGUUGUUUAAAAUUUUUGUUUUGUAAUUUUUUUCCUUUAAAAUACUGUGGAUUAAUGCGGUGUUUUCCCACAUAGUUUUUCUAUUUUAUUUUUUUAAAUUAUAUUUGUCGAUUUGUUUUUUAAUAUUGAGCUGAUUAAGAAUUUAGUUUUAUAAUUUUUUUUUCUUUAAACAUUGUUGAUUGCUACAGUGUUUCUCUAAAUGGUUUUUUUUUAUUUUCUCUGAAAUUAUCUUUUUUUUAUUUUAUUUUUUAAUAUUGAACUGGUUAAAACUUACAAUUACAAUAUGUGAAGAAAGCACUGUAACUUUCGUCGUAAAUUACUAUGGAUUGCUACAAUGUUUUUUCCCAUGUUGUUUUUUUUUGUUUUGUUAUGUUUUUUCUUAAAAUUAUCUUUAUCAAUUUUAUUUUUUAAAUAUUAAGUUGGUUAAGAAUUGUAAUUACAAGUAAAUACAAGUUUUUCCUUACAAAACACUAUGGAUUGAUACAGUUUUUCCUCACAUAGUUUUUUUUUUCUAAUUUCUUUUUUUGUAAUAACUUUUUUCUAAAAUUAUCUUCGUCGAUUUUUUUUUCCAUAUUGAGUUGGUUAGAAUUUAACUUUGUAAUAAAGUUUAAUUAUGUGGGAAAACACUUUAGCUUUCCUCACAAAACAUUUUGAUUUGCUACAGUGUCUCUCCACAUGGUUUUUCUUCCUUAUAAUUUUUUUCAAUUUAUUUUUGUCAGUUUUAUUUUUUUAAUAUUGAGUUGUUUGAGAAUUACAAUUACAAGUCAUUACAAAUAAGGCUAAAUCAUGUAGGAAAGCACUGUAGCUUUCAUCAUAAAACACUGUGAAUUGCUACAGUGUUUCCAAAAUGAUUUUUUCCCUCUUUUUUGGUGUUUUUUUUUGUUAUUUUUUUUCUAAGAUUGUCUCUAUUAAUUUUUUUUUCUUUAAUAUUGAGCUAAUUAACAAUUUAGCUUUGUAAUUUUUUUUCUUUAAAACACUGUGAAUUGUUGCAAUGUUUUUCCAUAUGAUUUUUUUCAAAAUUAUCUUUGUCAAUUUUUUUUUUAAUAUUGAGUUGGUUAAGAAUUAUAAUUAUAAUAAAGUUAAAUCAUAUAAGGAAAACGUUAUAGUUUUUCUCACAAAACAUUGUCAAUUGCUACAAUAUUUUUCCUCAUGGGUUUUUUUUCCUUCCAAAAUUGUCCUUGUAAAUUAUUUUUUUAAUAUUAAGUUGGUAGAGAAUUUAGUUUUGUAAUUUUUUUUGCUUUUUAUUAACAGAAAAGCCAAAUCAUACGGCGAAAACACUGUAUCUUUUCUCACAAAACACUGUAAAUUGCUACAAAUCAUUUUGUUCAGUCUCUAAGUUUUUGAUGACUAACAUAAUUUUUUUUUUGUCAUGAAAUAUUUGCUCCAUCAUACCUUUAGUUUCUAUUAUUUAUUUAACGUUGAUUCACAAUUAUAAUACUAUCAAGUAUAUUUGUUUUAUAAGCCUGCGGCAGCGCGCGGAUAUGUCAUCUCGUUCCAUUUAAAGCAUGUUAAAAAAAACACAUAGAAAAGUUAAAAUAAUAUUUUUUAUUAUAUUUAGCUUUCUAUUUAUCAGAACCCUUGGAGUUGCUCUUACUUCAAUGAAUCAAACUUUCAGAGCUAACUAAACAACCCUAUAAACGUUUUUCCAAAUCCCUAACGAAUCAUAUAAAGUUAUUUGCACAGUUUUGGUGUAGUUCUUAAAAUGCAUUUAUGGUUGAGUGUGUAGCAUAUUACUAGAUUUUUUAUACCAUUAAAAGUUGCAAGUGAAAAUAUUUUUUUAUCGGUAAAAAGAAAAAUUGGGCAACACAAAUAUAUUUUAAAAAAAUAUAUAUAAAAAAAGUGAGUCAGGGAUAUAAAUCCAAUCGAGAAAAAAAUAUACGUGGACUAACUUAAAAAAUAAAAAUGAGAACCUGCAACAAAAAAAUAAUUAAAAACAAUAACAAAGUUAAGAAUCAUGAGACUAAAAUAUAUUUAACAAAGCUAACAAAUAAUUAAAAAAUAAUAUAGAAGAACAAAAGAAAAAAAAAAUGAUUUAGAUUAGCUAGACCGAGCAUGAUAAAUAUAUAAGUCAAAUCAUGAGACUAAAAUAAAUAAAUAAAAAAAACAAAAACAAAUUCAAUCUCAAACAAAUCAAACAUCAAAUAAUAAAAUUGAAAGGAGGGUCAAAUUAAAAAAAAAAAAAAACCCAACAAACCAAGUAACCAUACCCAAUCAACUUAAAAAAUUUGUCAAAAGUAAAUCCUGUAAAAAAAAAACAAUUUAAAAGAUACAAAACAACUGAGUUAUUUUAAAGAUUUAUAUAUAUAUAAAACCAUAUAAAAGAUAGGUAAAAAAACAAAAUCUAUUGGCUAAUACAAAUAUUAAAUGAUAAAUUAAAAAAAAAACAUCAACUUAAAAAUCUCAUGAAAAAAUUGGAAUGGAAACUACGUUGUUCUGUUAUGGCAUGCCAAGAAUGAGUACAAUUAAUAAUCCAAGACUUGUCAUCUAAAUACGCAGGAACAAGGGCUUGAAGGUUGGACCUUUGAACAAGGAAGGAAAGCCUGGGCUAUGGUUUUGAAGAAAGGUUGAUUGAGUCGUCAUGUUUUACUUGAAAUCUGUGAUGGAUUUUGGAAGUUAAAUCUUGAUUUUUUAUGCCAUGAUUGUAGCUGAACUAUUAGAGACUAUGUUUCUCUUGUUUUUGUGCCACCACGAGGAUGGAUUAAGUUCAAAAUUAUGCUCUAAUAAUGUAUGAGAGUGAGUUGUUCCAAUAUCUUUUAAUACCCAGAAUUUAGAACAAAACGACAUAGUUUCCAUUCCAAUCUUCAUCCUUUAUUCUCCCCUCUUUUGAUCAAAAGGCACAAUCUUUAUCCAUUAUUCUUCCUUCUUUUUUUCUUUUUUUUUAUCAAAACACACCAUUUUAUUUAAUGUUAAAUGAUGUCAUUUUUUGUCCUCAAAUGAAAUUAGAUUUUUCAAUUUGAAUCAAGUCAAACUUCAAAUUAGUCCUUCACCUUCCACAUUUCUUGCUCCAUGAUUCUUGGACUUUCUAUUUUUUUUAUUUUGGUCAAUUUUCAUAGUUUUUUUCUCUUAGUUUCUUUCCAUUCAGUCCCUAAUUGAAUUAGAAUAUGUCCCCCAUAUUCUCCACUCUAUUCAUUUUAGUCUCUAGUCCUUCAAUUUUCAUUUUUAAGCCAAAUUAACUCCCAACUUUAAUUUUCCUUUUCAAUCCCUUAAUUGAUUUUCUAACUUGAAUAUUUAUUUCAAAAUCAUCUUUCAACCUCAAAUUCCUUUCAAUCUUGGCCAAAUUAAAUCAAAUUAAGACUUUUUAUCAAUUUCUUCUUCAAUUAAGCCCUCAAUUAUGGCUCAAAAAUUCUCAAACUCAAUUUUUGCGUGUGAAACUCAAUUAUUGGCCUGAUUUCAAGCCCAGCUAUAUUUCUUUUAAUUUUUGUAUUUUUUAUGAUUUUCAAGAUUUUUUGAUACACAAAAAUUAAAUUUUUAGUCUGACCCUUGCUUAAUUUUAUUUUUAAAUUAAAUCAUGUUGGAGUUACUUCGACAUGACUUGAUCAACUUGGGCAGGUCUACAAAAAACAAAAACAAAAAAUACCAGCUUCAUCCUAAAUCAACAUGUUUAAUCCACGACCCGAGUUAUGGACUCUACUAUGUUGAAUUAUAUUUUUUUAUUUUCUUAUAUGAUAAAAAAAUAUAAAAAUCAAUUUAUAAUAAAUCAAAUAUUAAAAGAUAAAAUUUAAUCAAAAUCAAAUAUUAAAUAAUGAAAUUAAAAAAAUUAGCCAAUAAAAAAGAGUCAUGGGCUUAUUCAAAAAAAAAUUAUUGUUGAGAGCAUGAGCGAGGCGCGUGCGCCUGGGACAAUUUUCUUUUUUCUUUUGCUUAUGACAAGAGGUGGACAACCUUUUGUCCGCCCCUUCUUCUUAAGAAAUAGAAAUACAUAUAUAACAAUUCUUCUUACAUGUUCCCUUGUAAUUAUGGUUUGAUAGUUCCCAAACCAAUAACAAAGUUAGUGUAUAGACAAUGAAUUGGAGAAGGAUAUCAACAUUAUCGUGGCAUAACAUGUUCCCCGAUAAUUAUGGUUUGAUGGUUCCAAAACCAAUAACAAAAUUAGUGUAGUUGUGGUCAUAACAUCGCUAACUGGUCAUAAAAUGACCUUAUCUUUUUUACUUGUUUUUUGGCCAAGGGAUCAUCUUCACUCCGGAAGAGUGAGUAGAGAUAUCAGAGGCUCAUAAUUGGGAAAACGUGAAAUAAGAUAAGAGCGUUUUGCCAGCUCGAAGUCUUCAAACUGAAAGGCCGGAGCACAAGUGCAACCUACUAGGGAGUAGUGGCUCUCACCAUCCCUCGGUGCAGUUUUAGCAACC
rnacentral:lncRNA from 1 species